GGGGUCCAAAGAACAAUAAGCAUUCUUCAUAAUAUAUUUCAUCAGAACAAAGAAAUUCAUACAGAUUUAGAACAACUCGAAGGUGAGUAAAUGAUGACAGAAUAUUAAUUUUUGGUUGAACUAUCCCUUUAACAUUAUAUUUAACAACGGACACAUCUUGUUUAUAGACGGUUUCAUCGGACGCACGCGCCUGGCCUGGAGUUAACUUACGGUCUGUGUUUGGUUGUAAUAUAACAAUGCAUUUUAUGUGAAAUUUAUAGCAAUAUUUUAUUGUAUAUUAAUUGUAUUUAAAUAACUUAGAACUACUCAACAGUUAUUUAUUUUUUCGGAUGUGUACCGGAAGUUAAAGGGGUCAUAUACCGUAAAUAUGUACUUUUAAGUGUUUUUGGUCUGUUAUAAGUUGCCCAUGCAUGUAUUAGACAGGUAAAAUUGCAAAAAUGUAAGUGUCGGAAGAAAAGAUGCAAUCUAUCUAAAAGCUAGACCUGCCUGAAACGCCUCGUGUAACCACACCCCCACGCAUGUACGUCACUUCGUGGUAUGAUUUGACUAAGACCGCCCAAAUGUAUACGCAAGAAAGGUGGGCGGUCUUUUAAAUCUCAUUGUACCGUCGCGGCACAGGCUGAUUUUCCGAAUAUGGUAAGAGGUGUUUCAUUUCCGUCCAGUAUUCGACCAAUCACUACGCACUAGUGACCUGGCCAAUCAUAGCUCACCUCGCUUUUUUGGACGAUGAGCUUUGUAAAAUAUCAGCGCGUUUCAGAGAGACGGAGCAGCGAGGAGAUACAAAUAUGCACGCUCUCCGGCUCGACAACGAUAAUGAUGUGGGGUCUACAAAGCAGGCGAAGGCUCCCGUCCAUCAUCACAGUAUAAUUAUACAAGGACAUUUUUUUCUCGCUGCAAAACAGAAAAAUGCCUAUGAAGUAAAAUAUGAAAAAUAUGCCAGUCGACCUCUGUCUCAAAAAAGAUCAGCAGUCAUGGGAAAGUCGGUGAUUGAACUUCCUCAGCGAAGCCCCUAAAGUGUGCUAAUUUUCCAAAGUAAAUAUAAGAGAAAAGUAUACAUAGCCUUGCAGAUGUGAAAAUUUCCUUUCAUUCAUGGCCAUCUGGGAUUUAAUGGUCUGUCCCACAGCCACUGUCUUUCAUCCGCUUUGAUAUUUUCUUCCAAAUUCUGACCUUUUCUUUUAAUAAAGGUGGUGUUUUUUUGUCUUUGUAAUAAUAACUGGCACUCUCCAGAAACUGAAGCUAAACGCACGAUUUAAAGAGGAAACGACUGUUUGAUGGCCUUUGGAUGACCUGGAUGUUGGAAUAACAUCAUCUCUCUGUGACCCUUAACCACUGUACCACCUUCAACUGUCCCUCUUUCAAUCCAUCAAGAACAGUGAAAUGGAGUAGGCUAUGUGAGCGACACACAGAGAUUUGCAUCGCCUCCCUCACAGAUGCUCGGGACCAUUAGCGACGCAUUUGAAGAUCCGCGCCAAUUAGUCCCCACAUCCAAGAUGAAAGGCCUGGCCUAAGGCAAAGAACGCCAAGACCCUGUGAAUAGCUGGGAGCUUCACAGAAGCAUAAUUUUGCCAGCUAGAGGGGGAGAGAACCUUGUACUCUAAUUAUGCGCUCAA